rnacentral:rRNA from 1 species
AGCGAACGCUGGCGGCAGGCCUAACACAUGCAAGUCGAACGGAUCCUUCGGGAUUAGUGGCGGACGGGUGAGUAACACGUGGGAACGUGCCCUUUGGUUCGGAACAACUCAGGGAAACUUGAGCUAAUACCGGAUGUGCCCUUCGGGGGAAAGAUUUAUCGCCAUUGGAGCGGCCCGCGUCUGAUUAGCUAGUUGGUGAGGUAACGGCCCACCAAGGCGACGAUCAGUAGCUGGUCUGAGAGGAUGAUCAGCCACACUGGGACUGAGACACGGCCCAGACUCCUACGGGAGGCAGCAGUGGGGAAUCUUGUGCAAUGGGCGAAAGCCUGACGCAGCCAUGCCGCGUGAAUGAUGAAGGUCUUAGGAUUGUAAAAUUCUUUCAGCGGGGACGAUAAUGACGGUACCCGCAGAAGAAGCUCCGGCUAACUUCGUG